rnacentral:rRNA from 1 species
GACGAACGCUGGCGGCGUGCUUAACACAUGCAAGUCGAGCGGUAAGGCCCUUUCGGGGGUACGACGAGCGGCGAACGGGUGAGUAACACGUGGGUGACCUGCCCUCAGCUCUGGGAUAAGCCUGGGAAACCGGGUCUAAUACCGGAUAUGACUCCAUGACGCAUGUUGUGGGGUGGAAAGCCUUGUGCGGCUGAGGAUGGGCCCGCGGCCUAUCAGCUUGUUGGUGGGGUGAGGCCUACCAAGGCGACGACGGGUAGCCGGCCUGAGAGGGCGACCGGCCACACUGGGACUGAGACACGGCCCAGACUCCGUACGGGAGGCAGC